rnacentral:miRNA from 1 species
AUGGUGGCAACUGUCCUGGUUUGCCUGGGACUGAGGGGUUUCCUGGGAUGUGGGACUUUUGGUACUA